rnacentral:rRNA from 1 species
GAACGCUGGCGGCAUGCCUUACACAUGCAAGUCGAACGGCAGCACGGGAGCAAUCCUGGUGGCGAGUGGCGGAACGGGUGAGUAAUAUAUCGGAACGUGCCCAGUCGUGGGGGAUAACGCAGCGAAAGUUGUGCUAAUACCGCAUACGAUCUAUGGAUGAAAGCGGGGGAUCGCAAGACCUCGCGCGAUUGGAGCGGCCGAUAUCAGAUUAGGUUGUUGGUGAGGUAAAAGCUCACCAAGCCUGCGAUCUGUAGCUGGUCUGAGAGGACGACCAGCCACACUGGAACUGAGACACGGUCCAGACUCCUACGGGAGGCAGCAGUGGGGUAAUUUUGGACAAUGGACGAAAGUCUGAUCCAGCAAUGCCGCGUGCAGGACGAAGGCCUUCGGGUUGUAAACUGCUUUUGUACAGAACGAAAAAGUCUUUAAUAACACUAGAGGCUCAUGACGGUACUGUAAGAAUAAGCACCGGCUAACUACGUG